UACGUAGGUGGCAAGCGUUGUCCGGAUUUACUGGGCGUAAAGGGAGCGUAGGUGGAUAUUUAAGUGGGAUGUGAAAUACCCGGGCUUAACCUGGGUGCUGCAUUCCAAACUGGAUAUCUAGAGUGCAGGAGAGGAAAGGAGAAUUCCUAGUGUAGCGGUGAAAUGCGUAGAGAUUAGGAAGAAUACCAGUGGCGAAGGCGCCUUUCUGGACUGUAACUGACACUGAGGCUCGAAAGCGUGGGGAGCAAACAGGAUUAGAUACCCUGGUAGU
rnacentral:rRNA from 1 species